CUCUCUCUCUCUCUCUCUCUCUCACACACACACACACACACACACACACACACACACACAAUCCAAGGGCCUUCCUAUGCCAGGUUACUAGAGUGAGGCACAUCUCUAAAGUGAACUUGGCAAAAAUGUUGCAUAUGGUCACAGCCUGAAUGCCAGGAGGUCCUAUGGUCCACUGAUUCUGACUUCUAGCUACCCAGGCAACAUGCUGGCCAUGACCACUGUGAUGACUCUCCUUUUCUCCUUUUUGUUUGCUUUUUUCUCAGAAGAACGAGGCACAAGUUUCAGUCACUGAGGCAGGCUGGAAGGCACUGGAAGGAAACAUCACUGUUUCGCCAUUAGUCAUGGAAUAAGUGACUCAUCAUUACUUGUAACCAACGUCCUGUUUUCUGGAGAUGUUAAUGAGAAGUGUUGAAUUUCUUCUUAGCUGCAUCAUAAGGCAAACAGCAUUUUGUUAAUGAUUUAAACAACAGCAGUUAGAAGUUGGCCUCUGGUUCAUGAGUUAAUCAAGAAAGAGGGAAAGGCAGACUAAAGGAAAUCACAUAUUCCAUUACAAAAACAAAAAACAAAAACAAAAACAAAAAAACAACAACAUAAAACCUACUAAAAGCCCAGUCAUUUUAGCCAUCAGGAAUGUAGAGUGGCUGAUAUCUGACAUCCCAUCUGGCCUUUUUCCAUUUUCUCUGUUUCAACAGCGCGAGUGAGCAACAGCUCCCUUAGUAUAAAAUUCACCUGUUUCAUUAGAUACAAGUCAGUGGUUUUAGUACCUUGUAGAGUGGUGACACCACAGUCAGACCCUAAAUAUAGAUCAUGUCUGCAACCACUCCCCCCCCACACACACACACUAUGAAGACCUUUUGCCAGGGGCGGUCCCUUUCCUUCUCUUCCCCCUUCUUCUGGAAGCUUCUGGGAACCACUAACCAAUUUUCCAUCCCCGCUUAUCUGCUUAUUCUGAAGAUGUCGCAUCCAUAGGGUGUGGUUUUCUGCCACUGUCAUCUUCAUGAGUGGCAUAGCAGCUAUCGGGUUUUUAGGACUGGCCAGAUAUGCAGAUAUCUGUGUGAGCUCUAUUGUUAAUGUCUGCCACCAACUCAGACUCAGAAGAAGCUGACUGAGGUGGCACAGGCCUCUAAUCCCAGCACUUGGGAGCUGGAGGAGAGACAAUCCUGGGUUCGAGGACAGCUGCUACUACAUAUGUGUGACACCUUCCCUGAAGCAGAGCACAACCCAACAUCAGAAAUGGACAUACACAGAACCUUCUGGAAGGAGUCACAACGCUUUUAGCUAACAUCACUGACCAUGGCAAAACAGGAGGCAGAAAGUGAAACAAAAAGUCCUGCCUGCAGGAUCUCCAUGACACAGGACAGCAGCAGGAUAUCCAGGAAGAAUCCCAGCCAGGGCCCUGUAUUGACAGAACAGAAAAAGCCAGAGGCAUUGAGCCAGGCCAACAAUCCAGUGCAAUGAACACUUUCAAGUAAAGAUGUAAGACUAAGGAGUAGACUGCGUGACUCCCUGGACCACACUACAGAUCCCACACUGAGACUUUUUUCUUCUUUUCUGUUUUGUUUGUUUUUUAUUAUUUUUGUUUUGUUUUGGGCUAUACUUUUAAAUUUUGUUUUGUUUUGAUGGGAAGAGGGUGGAAGUGAGGGGAUGGGUAGAUGAGUGGGAUCGGGAUUCAUGGUGUGGAAUCCACAAAGAACCAAUAAAAAAUCAAAACAAGAGAGUUCUCUGUGUGUGUGUGUGUGUGUGUGUGUGUGUGUGUGUGUGUGUGUAAGCUCGGUAAGGAGUAACAGAGAACUUUCAAACUAACCCAGCCUAACACUGUAAUCUGCUUAAUCAACCUUGUCAACCUUGUCAAAAAUGGACACAUACCUACUCAAAUCGCUCUGUAUUUAGAAUGGCAGCUUUCCUGGUCCCAUAAAAUAGCUCAAGUCACAUGCAUCUUGUACACAUGUGAUAGUAUGCUUUAACUAACAACUUGGUACAAACCUAGAGUCACCUGAAAAGAGGGAACCUGAAAUACAGAACUUCCUAGAACAGAUUGACCAUGACCAUGUCUGCAAGGUACUUUCUUAACUGCUAACUGGUUGAGGAGGGCCCAGCAUACUUGGGGAAAUACCACCAUCCCUAGGCAGAUGGGCCUGAUCUGUUUACUAGAUGCUGUAGACAAAGGAAACUUGGCAACCCAGGGGAAGCAAGCCAGUAAGCAGAGUUCCUCUUUCAACUCUGCUUGAGUCCCCUGCCUUGGCUUCCCUGGAUGAUGGGCUGUAACUUUUAAGAUAAAAUAAACCCUUUCCUUCCCAAGGUGAUUUUACUCACGGUGUUUAUCACGGCAUCAGAGAAGCAAAGUGGAGCAACAGGAAAGUAUUCAAUUUCUCAGAGUUCUCAGAUCCUCAUCUAUAUGACGUGAGUGAUAUAAUAAGCAUCAUAACUUUCUAAGCUGCUAGGAGGCCCCAUAAGCUGAAAUGCAUAUUAGCUCUGGGGCUGUCCUCAGGACUUGGAAACAAGAAGAUGGAUAGGGAACAGGUGAACUUGGCAAAGUUGAAAAGUCAGAACUGUAAAAAUUACUUCUCUGUUGCUGUGAUAAAAUACCAGGACCACAGUGAAUUCAGAAACAAAGUGUAUUUGUUUUUGACUUAUGGUGCCAGAAGGAGUCCAUGACAGUGGGGAAGACAUGGCCACAAGGACAGAAAGCUGGAUGGCCACAUUUUUAUCCAUACCAAGGAAGAAGAGAGUGAGAGAGAAGGAUGGCACAAGGCUAUAAAAUGCUCAAAGCCCACCCUCGGUUACUUUCUUUUUCUAGCAAGGCUCUGUAUCCUAAAGAUUCAAUAACCUGCCCAGACAAUUCUAGCAACUGGGGACCAAGUGUUCAAAUAUGUGAGCCUAUGGAGAAUGCUUCUCAUUCAAACCAUCGCACAAGGGUAUAUUUUAAUGUUCUCCCAUAGAGUUGCAUGGUACACGUGUUAUUCUUAAGCAUGAACUAAGGCCACCUAUGUGAAGUAUGUACAACCAGAGGAAGUUGUUUAAGCCUGUAAGCCUGGAGUUUGGCUUGGAGUCUGCAACCAGGCACAUGCCAUCUUCAUGAUUGAUUACUUACAGCAUAAACAGCAUUGUUUACACAAACUAGUCCCAUUGUCACGGUGUGUUGCAAGCGUCAAACAUCAAUAUAUUCUCCACAUUUUGGGGACUCUACCGAGUCCCACACCCAAGUGCCAGUACCCCACUCAUCCUUACCCAUAACCUUCUUAAUUAGUAAUUGUUAUAGACUUGAAAACCAUGUCACUCAGUCCAGAGAGAGUGUAUACAAGUGGAAGUUCUGUGUAUCACCCAGAUGUUUCACGGGAAUAUGAACUGCAGGCCUACAAAUACUCUGAUCAGAACUCGAUCAGCCAUCUUUGAUUGUGAGCUAGAAAAUCAGGGCCGAGAGCCAAAGCCACAGGAUGUUAAUAGCCUUAGUGUCUACAGGGACACACAACACAUCAGUGUGUUUUAAGGAAAGUAAUAAAUAUAUAACCUGUUUAUGCCUCUUGUGUGUGUGAAUGUGAGUAUGUGUGUGUGUGUGUGUGUGUGUGUGUGUGUGUGUGUUGUGUAUGUGUAUGUAUGCGAGUAUGUGUAUCUGUAUAUGUGAGUAU